rnacentral:rRNA from 1 species
UACAGAGGGGGCAAGCGUUAUUCGGAAUUAUUGGGCGUAAAGGGCGCGUAGGCGGCCUGGCAAGUGGAAGGUGAAAUCCCUCGGCUUAACCGAGGAACUGCCCUCCAAACUGCUUGGCUUGAGUCCGGGAGAGGUGAGUGGAAUUCCUGGUGUAGCGGUGAAAUGCGCAGAUAUCAGGAGGAACACCGGUGGCGAAGGCGGGUCUCUGGGCAACAACUGACGCUGAGGAGCGAAAGCGUGGGGAGCGAACAGG